rnacentral:lncRNA from 1 species
CCCGUAGGGAUUCUGUACAGGUUUUUUUGUAUACGGGAGGAAUUUUGCACACACGGAGGGUUAGUUCGAAAUUUCAACAAAAGAUGGCUUUGUGAUUUACUUUUUCGGCAAAAGAUGGUGGGUCGGUCGAAUGUUUCACAAAUGUCACCAAUAGGUGGCUCUGAUUUCAAAUUUCACCAAUAGAUGGCGGCUUUGAUUGGGGUGAGUUUGAACUACGCGCUUAGAAGUUUCCCCCUCUAUGCUACCUAGUCGAGUCGAGUUCGAGCAUGUAUCUUGCUUGAAUCGGCUAAAACCGGUAAAUGUUAUUAGCAAAUAGCCAAAUAGCUUUUGUUUAUAUCAUGGUUUAUAUACUGCCACUCCAGCCACCAGCCAACUAUACUCUCCAGCCAGUCCAGCGUCCAGCCAUUAACAUUUAUCCAGAAAUACAGUGAAUCACAAGAAGAGUGGCUCACAGAAUUUGCAUUUCAGGGAAGUGUACUAAAUUUGAAAAACUAUCCGUCACAUCCAGAUUCCUUCAAGGAGGAGAAAAAUUGGUCGUUAAAUUGGACAAAUCAAACACAGGCUACAACAGCUGGAUGAAUUUUAAGAGCAUGUGAGUGAACACAAGGCCUGGGAUUUAGAUCAAAGAGUCAAAGCCCUAAAAACUAAUUCAGUGCUCUAUUAUUCUGUUUUAAACUCACCCCUUUGCUUUUUAUCUGAGCAAAUUUGUCCUCAUUACAUAUAUUCUUCAUAAUUUUGGUUAACUGGUUGUUUGAAGGCAUUGCUGAUAAAGAUAUUAGGCUUGUUGGUUUAGGAAAUUGGAUACAUCUACACUGGUUUCUCCCAGUAUUGGCAGUGAGAAAAUGUCUGGGAAACCACUAAGGGCAAGAUCAACAACUGUGAAGGAAUGGAUCAAGGCGUUGGCCCAUCAUCUAUGGCAUGUCAUUUCCCCGGUUGGGACCAUCACCUUGCUCGAGUACGAGGCCUCUUGUGGAAUAUCGUCAAAUCUCUGCCAAUGAGCCAUCUCCUUCCUAUUCAUCAACAUGUACUUCGUUGAGAGACUUGGAGAGUUGGAAAAUUGUAGCCUCUGGCAUUAGGCCAUUUUUGUCGCGAUGCAUUUGAAAUCGUCACCAUCUUUUGCGUUUGUCGCGUAGCGUUUGUGGAAGACAUCCUCGGCCGUCAUAUCGGACAAGAAAAAUACGA